UACGGGAGGCAGCAGUGGGGAAUAUUGCACAAUGGGCGCAAGCCUGAUGCAGCCAUGCCGCGUGUAUGAAGAAGGCCUUCGGGUUGUAAAGUACUUUCAGCGGGGAGGAAGGCGAUGCGGUUAAUAACCGCGUCGAUUGACGUUACCCGCAGAAGAAGCACCGGCUAACUCCGUGCCAGCAGCCGCGGUAAUACGGAGGGUGCAAGCGUUAAUCGGAAUUACUGGGCGUAAAGCGCACGCAGGCGGUCUGUUAAGUCAGAUGUGAAAUCCCCGGGCUUAACCUGGGAACUGCAUUUUGAACUGGCAGGCUUGAGUCUUGUAGAGGGGGUAGAAUUCCAGGUGUAGCGGUGAAAUGCGUAGAGAUCUGGAGGAAUACCGGUGGCGAAGGCGGGCCCCUGGGACAAAGACUGACGCUCAGGUGCGAAAGCGUGGGGAGCAAACAGGAUUAGAUACC
rnacentral:rRNA from 1 species